rnacentral:lncRNA from 1 species
CGGGGCUUCCUGUGGGUGGGGCCUCUCCCCACCUACAUCAGCAGGUGUCUGAGGGCCGGUCAGGUAGUCUUGAGUGCCCGGCGGCUCCCUGCCACGAUGCUGAGUUCCCGGGGGUGUGUGCAGGUGCUCCUAGGGUGGGCCCUGAUUUUGGGGCAGCUGCAGAUGUCACGCAUGGCCUUCCCUUCGCGGUGGCAUCCNAGCUCACCUAUGGAUUCAUGCUGCACAGGGCAAGACCAAGAAAGAAUAUAUGAGGAAAAGGCCGAAAGGUUCAGGAAUCAAAUGGAAGAGGAUGCAGCGGUGGAAUCCUGCCCCGUGGGUGUCGAGUGGAAGAACCAGGCCCUUGAAGUCCUGAAUCGGCACAGAUAUCUAGAUGAUGCUUACUUCACNCGCGUAGAGGAUGGUUUUAUGUACGUCGAGGCAGCGUGUGGAGCUCAGGUGAAAAUCAGAAUGAUCCUGCAGAAAACCAACUGCACCAGAGAGCAGCUGGAGGAUAACGAGAGGCCUCUCACUAAUUCCUUCCUGGAAGAGGAACACUGCGAAGUUCUAGAGGGACCGGAGCAAGAGCAAAGGAACUGCACGUUCACGGUCGCCUGGGACGCGAGGUCUGGACACCAUAAAGUGAUCGAACAGGACUGCGACUACGUUUCAGGUUUCGGAGAAUGAAGAUUCUGCCAAGGGCCGGGCGGAAAAAAGCACGCCUCCUUCUCAGAGCGUAAUCGUUUAGAUGGAAGCCUGAAAACUGUUCCAUGGAAAGGGAGGUUCUGCAUCCCCUGCAGUCUUUCCUCGUGCUAGAAUCUCUGGUAGUUCUUUCUUUCCCUCUGAUCCGAAAUAAGACAAUAAAUUUUAACUUGCGC